rnacentral:rRNA from 1 species
UACGAAGGAUGCAAGCGUUACUCGGAAUUACUGGGCGUAAAGCGCGUGUAGGCGGCUUUGCAAGUCGGGCGUGAAAUCCCACGGCUCAACCGUGGAAGUGCACUCGAAACUGCAGAGCUAGAGUCCUGGAGAGGAAGGUGGAAUGCUUGGUGUAGAGGUGAAAUUCGUAGAUAUCAAGCGGAACACCGGUGGCGAAGGCGGCCUUCUGGACAGUGACUGACGCUGAGACGCGAAAGCGUGGGGAGCAAACAGG